rnacentral:rRNA from 1 species
UAAUACGGAGGAUGCAAGCGUUAUCCGGAUUUAUUGGGUUUAAAGGGUGCGUAGGCGGAUUUAUAAGUCAGCGGUGAAAGACUGUCGCUCAACGAUAGCAUUGCCGUUGAUACUGUAGAUCUUGAGUACACUUGAGGUAGGCGGAAUGUGUAGUGUAGCGGUGAAAUGCUUAGAUAUUACACAGAACACCAAUUGCGAAGGCAGCUUACUAAAUUGUAACUGACGCUGAGGCACGAAAGCGUGGGGAUCAAACAGG